rnacentral:tmRNA from 1 species
CCUUGCAAAAAAAAUAAAGAUCGCUUAAAAUAAUAGGCGUUGAGCAAUCAACUGUGACACCAGAGGCUGUGUGAAAUAGAUAUUCUGGACCCGGGGGCAGUACCCGGCGCCUCCACCAAAACAACUUUUAAGGGGGCGAAACAGGAUCGACAGGGUAUAGUAAAGGCAUUUUGCCGUGUUCGGUGAGAUACCACCGUUAUCGGUUCAAAAUAAAAUGAAUGCUAACGAUAAUGAAUUAGCACCUGUUGCUUUGGCUGCUUAAUUUAGCAGUUGCAACAAACGCAAAUCCUCAUAACUAUGGUUAGUUGUGAGUGGGGAGUGAGCCACCCAGCAACAGAACGGCU